rnacentral:lncRNA from 1 species
AAUGGAGAGUCCGAUGGCCGACCACAGCGAGUAGCGUCCUCCCACCCACUAGGAGAGACAGGACAAGGUGCUGAGGGAGGGCCGGCACACCCCGCCCCCCACCUCCUGCCGGAAACCCUGUCCCUGGUCUUGCACAGGGGCGUCUCGGAGGGCCCUGGCCCAACCCACCUCCAGGAAGCAAGGCAGCAGGCAGGUGCUGGCAACACAUGGGAAGACCAACAGGGCAGACUACAGAUGACUGACCACAGCCACAAGACAAACUGAAGAGCUUACCGUGGUCUUCCCUGAGAUGUCGGGCCCUGUCUCUGCAGACACCAGCAGACCCAGGACCUCAUACCUGUGCCAGGGCCCACCUCCUCAGACACGGACACACCCAGGGCCUCAUACCUGCGCCAGGGCCCACCUCCUCAGACACGGACAGACCCCAGGCCUCAUACCUGUGCCAGGGCCCACCUCCUCAGACACGGACACACCCAGAUCCUCAUACUCAUACCAGAUCCUACCUCCUCAGAUAUUGAAAAACCCAGAUCCUCAUACCUGUAUGAGAUCCUACCUCCUCAGAUACUGACAGACCCAGAUCCUCCAGGGACAGAUCCUACCUCCUCAAAUACUGACAAACCCAGAUCCUCAUACCAGGGCCAGAUCCAACCACUUCAGACACUGACAGACUCAGAUCCUCAUACCUGUACCAGAUUCCUACCUCUUCAGAUAUUGAAAGACCCAGAUCCUUAUACCUGCACCAGAUCCUACCUCCUCAGACAUGAACAGAACCAAAUCCUCAUACUCAUGCCAGAUCCUACCUGCUCAGACAUGGACAGACCCGGAUUCUCAUACCAGGGCCAGAUCCUACCUCCUCAGACAUGGACAGACCCAGAUCCUCAUACCAGGACCCGAUCCCACCUCCUCAGAUACUGAUGGACACAGAUCCUCAUACUUGUACCCAGCCUCACUUCCCCAGACACUAGAAGACUCAGGGCUUCAUACCUGUGCCAGAUGCUAUCUCCUCAGGCACUGGAAGCCCAAGGGCCUCAAACCUGAGUCCAAACUCACCUCCUCAAACACUGGAAGACGCAGAUCCUCAUAUCUGUGCCAGGUGCUACCUCCUCAGACAUGGAAGACCCAUAUCCUCAUACCUGUACCAGAUCCUACCUCCUCACACACUGGAAGACCCAGAUGUCAUACCUGUACUUAGCCCACCUCCUUGGAUACCUCUU